rnacentral:rRNA from 1 species
UCCGUAGGCGGUUUAGUAAGUCAGUGGUGAAAGCCCAUCGCUCAACGGUGGAACGGCCAUUGAUACUGCUAAACUUGAAUUAUUGUGAAGUAACUAGAAUAUGUAGUGUAGCGGUGAAAUGCUUAGAGAUUACAUGGAAUACCAAUUGCGAAGGCAGGUUACUAACAAUAUAUUGACGCUGAUGGACGAAAGCGUGGGUAGCGAACA